rnacentral:tRNA from 1 species
GGGGCUAUAGCUCAGUUGGAAGAGCGCUUCCAUGGCAUGGAAGAGGUCAGGGGUUCAAAUCCCCUUAGCUCCACCA